rnacentral:rRNA from 1 species
CGUAGGUAAUGUACCCCCAGGUGGUGGAUAACCUUCCGAAAGGAGGGCUAAUACAGCAUGAGACCACGACCCCGCGAGGGGAUGAGGUCAAAGCCGGCCUCUUCAUGAAAGCUGGCGCCAGGGGAUCAGCCUGCGGCCCAUCAGCUAGUUGGUAGGGUAAUGGCCUACCAAGGCGAAGACGGGUAGCUGGUCUGAGAGGAUGAUCAGCCACACUGGAACUGAGACACGGUCCAGACUCCUACGGGAGGCAGCAGUGGGGAAUCUUGCGCAAUGGGCGAAAGCCUGACGCAGCGACGCCGCGUGAGUGAUGAAGGCCCUCGGGUUGUAAAGCUCUGUGGAGGGGGACGAAUAAGUGUUGGCUAAUAUCCAGCAUGAUGACGGUACCCCUUUAGCAAGCACCGGCUAACUCUGUGCCAGCAGCCGCGGUAAGACAUGUGGUGCAAACGUUGUUCGGAAUUACUGGGCGUAAAGCGCGUGUAGGCAGCUUGGAAAGUCGGAUGUGAAAGCCCUGGGCUUAACCCAGGAAGUGCACUCGAAACUUCCGAGCUUGAGUUCUGGAGAGGGAAGCGGAAUUCUCGGUGUAGAGGUGAAAUUCGUAGAUAUCGAGAGGAACACCGGUGGC